CACUACCUGAGGUGUUCGCUCGCUGGUUACGUCCCUGAGCCGAUAUCUAAAACCUUUUGAGUCUGAAAUUCCAUUAUUGGUGAGCAUGCUCGCUUGUUCGAGAAGCCUAAAAAUAAUUAUUUUGACUCCCUUGAACCUUAUGGUUCAGGACCACUCCGGUAACGGCACUUCGGGUACUUU
rnacentral:other from 1 species